AACGGAUAGAUAAAUAGAUAGAUAAAAUAAAUAAGACACACAAAAUUUCUUUUUUUUGUGUUAAAUCAACUGAAUGUUUUUAUUCUUUUAUUCCCAGUUUUUCUAUUCUUUAUUAAAUCCUUUAUUUGUUCACUUGGUUGUUUUACGGUCGUCACAGCUCUGACUCUCCAAACAAACCCCUCCCGGCCUCCAUUUCUAAAACUGCUUUUAGACACGUGAUGGAAAGGAGGACGGCUUUUAAAAGGCCAGGAGGAGGGAAUGGAGCCAGGUAAACUAAUCUCCCUCUCUCAGACACACAAACACACCCAAACACACACACACACUGUAUAUUUACAGUAAGUGGGCUGAACGAGAGGCUCAGUCAUGACACAGAGGAGCAGCAUGUUGCAGGGCUGAAAAAGUCCUAGAGGACGGCUGGAGAAAUGGUGGUGGUGAUGGAGAAACUGCCUGAGACGACAUGAGGAAGAAACCUCAAGAAGAACCAGACAGAAGGUGAUUUUCAUUCAAGUGUUUAGUUGCUGAUAUUCUGCAAAAGGGUGUUUAUUUAACAUUUGUGGAAGGAGUCUCCAGUGUCGGUGCUUUGUAACAGAGUUUACACUUUGUAGUUUCUCUGUAAUUACGAGAGAAAGAGAGAGAGAGAUCGAGAGAGAGAGAGAGAAUGUUGAGACACUGUGGAAGGAAUGUGUGUUUAUCAUAAAUCAUGAUUUUUGUGACUUCUUCACCACUUUAAAAAAACUAGAAAUGGAUUUUUUUUUACAAAAUAAAUGAUGGGUCUUUCUUUAAAAAAAUUUACCUCCUGGCAAAGUGUUGAGUUACAGUAUAAGCUUUCUGACAUGCUGUCUUUAAAAAAAAAAAAAAGAAAGGAAAAUGCUGAGGGGGGAGUAACGUACACCUACAUGAUUCCACACUGUUGUUGAUGAUUUUUCUAUUUCCUAUUAUUUAUUAGUCCUAAUAACAUGCAGCCUGUGACGAUGCGGUUCAGCGGCAGCGUGUUGAUGCUCUUGCUGAGGUUUGUCAGCCAAGGAUCCUGAGUCGGACCGGUUUGCUAAAAUCACCGUACAAGGAAGAAAAAGCUGCAAAAUCCUCAUAUCGGGUCUGGAAGUAUUUACUGAAAUCAUUAUCCCUCUUAAUCAGCAGUGAGCUUUCCACAGAACCGAUCAUCAGCUGCCUCUCUCACUCAUUCUCCAUCAACUAAUGUGUGUGCUUUAAAAGGUCAAAAGGUCAAAGUUCAAUGUCUUUAGCUGUAUAUUUAAGCCGUCACUGGAUCCUUGUGAAUGUUACAAAUGAACUUUACUAAAAAAAACGCAACACACUUACAGUUUGUCUUAUAAUCGACCUACUUUAUGGGUAUCGAAUCAUGUUAAAACACACAGCAUUCUCCAAAACCUCUUCAGGAUGGAAAGAGCACGUAUCUAAAUCCAAAGCUUGCAAAAAACGCCUUCGAGCUGAGAACCUCGUUCCAACGCUGCCUGCACUCACUGACCUCGAUGUUCAGAAAGAAUUCCACAGCGCAGAAGCCGAGACAUGCCAUCCAUUAUCAUGCUGACUUUUAACCCCCCCCCGCCCCCAAACACACACACACAGAUGCGCACACAGUGUCCCAAUACCUCUCAAGGCCAAAUAAGACGCACCAUCAUACGCAUUGAUCUGGGAAAUCUCGGAAAGUGAUAGUGAAGGACGUGAUAAAGGAGGGAAUGCUGAAAAAAGCCGAGUCGGGGAAAAGAAUCGAACCAGGACAGCAGCCAUCGACGCAGAAAGAGACUUAAAAGUGCCAUAAAAGUGACUUCUGUAUACUGUACAAAGCAACAUAAAGAUUUUCCGAUCACAA